UCUCGCGCAGCUGGGCGCAAACGAGCUACCGCGGGACGGGCAGGCCGUGCCGGAAUGCGCGUGUGUACCGAGGGGCUCCGCGGACACGAAGUUACGAGAAGGCGCCGCUCCUGCAGCCCAGCGCGGGCUUCCUCCGCGCCGUCAAGAGACGCGCGAGCCGCCUCUGACAAGAACCUGGCACGGCUAAUGAAUGAUGCCCGCCCCAUCUGCGCCUCUUCUGUCAGCGUGGUCGUUAAAUGGCUGGUGUUUCUCGCACGGUGUUGUGUAAGAUCAUCGACCCCGCGAUCCUGAGUUACAGUACGCGUCGACAGCGCCGGAAAGCGUUUUUUCUUCGAUCUUUCCACUUUAAACAGUCGGUAUUCGCGCACCGGUCGCGACAACGUGCGCUCCGCGCCUGACAAUAAGAAAACAAACCUAUUCGAGGGGCAGCACGAAUGUGCUGCUGCCAUACUGUCAUCCGAAUAUCUUCAACUUCAUCGCAGUCCGUAUGUGUCGCCGCCGCACAGUAUCGUUUGCAGUGGAGCCGUGGGAAACGUGGUAUGUUGGGAGGCUGCGGACCACUGCGCCAGCUAUUUUAUGAGAAGGGAAAGGUGGAGAAACGCCUGGUCUGCUAAAACAAGCUGGCACAGACGCUCGCUUCGAAUGUAAAAUGUGCACAAGUCAUCAACAGACCUUGGACGGCAGCAAUGAUCGUGUUACCGCCUGCCGAUGACAAGAAUUCGGUCUUGGUGCGCCAGGGUGAAACAGCUUCCCAACGGCUGCUUGUAAAGGAGCCAAGAAGCGUCAAUGCUUACAUUUCUGCAGCGGCGCAUGUAGGAUGCGCAUCUGACGAAGCCAUCUCCUUUUCAAGAUGACAGAAACGUGCAGAAUGUGGAAGUGUCCAGAGCCGAUAAAAAGCACCAGGAUCACGCUGUAAACAUCGAGCUGCCGCACAACCAAAGGUCCCCCGACCACCUCAAGACCAAGGUCGUCGCACAGAAGUUCAAGUGACCACGUCUCUAACCUCCCCGCAUCGUAACAAAGAACAAGUUUGAAAACGAUUUGCAACGCAAGCCCAAAGGAAGGUGGAUAACGAUAAGGUCAUGAAAGCAACGCUGCGGUCUGGCGUGGUUUUGUUCGUCGACUCAUGCACUAGUUUUGCCAACGCAUUUUUUUAGUCUUGCGCAGUUCUGAAAGAACACCUCUAUAAAUUGUGUGCUGA